ACCAGCUAAGCUAUAUUGCCAUCUCUGCUGUAUUUCUGAAUACUUCUAGUCUUCUCUAUGAGGCAAUGGAAAAGGCUUUAUCUCCAUAAGGGAUAUACUGCCUUUUACACAGAAAACAAAUGAGCAUAACGUGUAAGAAAAGUACACUCAUUAGCUAUUAAUCCCAAGGACUGACUUACAUUUCUCUUUUAAAAGCCAACACAAGUAUAAAGAAUAACACAUAGCUUGAUAUAUCACAAAAUAUUCGAAUUCCCAGCUUUUGGUUUUUCAAUCACUUAAUGAACCUGCAAUUAAACCAAU
rnacentral:lncRNA from 1 species